rnacentral:tRNA from 1 species
UAAACUGAGGCCGAAAAGACAGGCGCUUAACUGUUAAUUAAGAUAGAGUGGGAUAAAUACCCACCAGUUUAG